rnacentral:lncRNA from 1 species
AUGCUUUCAGUUUUCAAGAAAGAAGACACCAUUGUUGCCAAAGGUUUUGGUAAUUUGAGAGAUACAAACAGAACCUGCUAAGGCCAUCAAACCUAUUGAUCGGAAGUCAGUCCAUCAGAUUUGCUCUGGGCCAGUGGUACUGAGUCUAAGCACUGCAGUGAAGGAGUUAGUAGAAAACAGUCUGGAUGCUGGUGCCACUAAUAGAUCUAAAGCUUAAGGACUAUGGAAUGGAUCUCAUUGAAGUUUCAGGCAAUGGAUGUGGGGUAGAAGAAGAAAACUUCGAAGGCUUAACUCUGAAACAUCACACAUCUAAGAUUCAAGAGUUUGCCGACCUAACUCGGGUUGAAACUUUUGGCUUUCGGGGGAAAGCUCUGAGCUCACUUUGUGCACAGUGAUGUCACCAUUUCUACCUGCCACGUAUCGGCGAAGGUUGGGACUCGACUGGUGUUUGAUCACGAUGGGAAAAUCAUCCAGAAAACCCCCUACCCCCACCCCAGAGGGACCACAGUCAGCGUGAAGCAGUUAUUUUCUACGCUACCUGUGCGCCAUAAGGAAUUUCAAAGGAAUAUUAAGA